AUUGAACGCUGGCGGCAUGCCUUACACAUGCAAGUCGAACGGUAACAGGUCUUCGGAUGCUGACGAGUGGCGAACGGGUGAGUAAUACAUCGGAACGUGCCCGAUCGUGGGGGAUAACGAGGCGAAAGCUUUGCUAAUACCGCAAACGAUCUACGGAUGAAAGCGGGGGAUCUUCGGACCUCGCGCGGACGGAGCGGCCGAUGGCAGAUUAGGUAGUUGGUGGGAUAACAGCUUACCAAGCCGACGAUCUGUAGCUGGUCUGAGAGGAUGAUCAGCCACACUGGGACUGAGACACGGCCCAGACUCCUACGGGAGGCAGCAGUGGGGAAUUUUGGACAAUGGGCGAAAGCCUGAUCCAGCCAUGCCGCGUGCAGGAUGAAGGCCUUCGGGUUGUAAACUGCUUUUGUACGGAACGAAAAGCCUCUUUCUAAUAAAGAGGGGUCAUGACGGUACCGGAAGAAUAAGCACCGGCUAACUACGUG
rnacentral:rRNA from 1 species